rnacentral:rRNA from 1 species
UACGGAGGGUGCAAGCGUUAUCCGGAUUCACUGGGUUUAAAGGGCGCGUAGGCGGUCAGCACAAGUCAGUUGUGAAAUCUCCGGGCUUAACUCGGAAAGGUCAACUGAUACUGUGCGACUAGAGUGCAGAAGGGGCAACUGGAAUUCUCGGUGUAGCGGUGAAAUGCGUAGAUAUCGAGAGGAACACCUGCGGCGAAGGCGGGUUGCUGGGCUGACACUGACGCUGAGGCGCGAAAGCCAGGGGAGCGAACGGG